rnacentral:rRNA from 1 species
UACGUAGGUGGCAGGCGUUGUCCGGAUUUACUGGGCGUAAAGAGCGCGCAGGCGGUCGUUCAAGUCGCGUGUGAAAGCCCCCGGCUCAACUGGGGAGGGUCACGCGAUACUGAUCGACUGGAAGGCAGGAGAGGGUAGUGGAAUUCCCGGUGUAGUGGUGAAAUGCGUAGAUAUCAGGAGGAACACCGGUGGCGAAGGCGGGUCUCUGGGCAACAACUGACGCUGAGGAGCGAAAGCGUGGGGAGCGAACAGG